ACUGGGCUUAAAGAGUUCGUAGGUUGUUGAAAAAGUUGGUGGUGAAAUCCCAGAGCUUAACUCUGGAACUGCCAUCAAAACUUUUCAGCUAGAGUAUGAUAGAGGAAAGCAGAAUUUCUAGUGUAGAGGUGAAAUUCGUAGAUAUUAGAAAGAAUACCAAUUGCGAAGGCAGCUUUCUGGAUCAUUACUGACACUGAGGAACGAAAGCAUGGGUAGCGAAGAGGAUUAGAUACCCUCGUAGUCCAUGCCGUAAACGAUGUGUGUUAGACGUUGGAAAUUUAUUUUCAGUGUCGCAGUGAAAGCGAUAAACACACCGCCUGGGGAGUACGACCGCAAGGUUAAAACUCAAAUGAAUUGACGGGGACCCGCACAAGUAGUGGAGCAUGUGGUUUAAUUCGAAGAUACGCGCAGAACCUUACCAACACUUGACAUGUUCGUCGCGACUUUAAGAGAUUAAAGUUUUCGGUUCGGCCGGACGAAACACAGGUGCUGCAUGGCUGUCGUCAGCUCGUGUCGUGAGAUGUUGGGUUAAGUCCCGCAACGAGCGCAACCCUCACUUUUAGUUGCCAUCAUUUAGUUGGGCACUCUGAAAGAACUGCCAGUGAUAAGCUGGAGGAAGGUGGGGAUGACGUCAAGUCCUCAUGGCCCUUACGUGUUGGGCUACACACGUGCUACAAUGGUAUAUACAACAGGAAGCAAAACGGCGACGUUAAGCAAAUCCUCAAAAGAUACCUCAGUUCGGAUUGCACUCUGCAACUCGAGUGCAUGAAGCUGGAAUUACUAGUAAUCGUGGAUCAGCGUGCCACGGUGAAUGCGUUCCCGGGUCUUGUACACACCGCCCGUCACACCAUGGGAGUUGGUUCUACCUUAAGGCAAGGUUUUAAACCCUUGACCACGGUAUAGUCAGCGACUGGGGUGAAGUCGUAACAAGGUAGCCGUA
rnacentral:rRNA from 1 species